rnacentral:rRNA from 1 species
CACGUAGGGCGCGAGCGUUGUCCGGAAUUAUUGGGCGUAAAGAGCUCGUAGGCGGCCUGUUGCGUCCGCUGUGAAAGCCCGGGGCUUAACCCCGGGUCGGCAGUGGAUACGGGCAGGCUAGAGGUAGGUAGGGGAGAAUGGAAUUCCCGGUGUAGCGGUGAAAUGCGCAGAUAUCAGGAGGAACACCGGUGGCGAAGGCGGUUCUCUGGGCAUGACCUGACGCUGAGGAGCGAAAGUGUGGGGAGCGAACAGG